rnacentral:rRNA from 1 species
AUUGAACGCUGGCGGCAGGCCUAACACAUGCAAGUCGAACGAGUGGCGGACGGGUGAGUAAUGUCUUGGAAACUGCCUGAUCGAGGGGGAUAACUACUGGAACCGGUGGCUAAUACCGCAUACCAUCGGAUCGGCCCAGAUGGGAUUAGCUAGUAGGUGGGGUAACGGCUCACCUAGGCGACGAUCCCCAGCUGGUCUGAGAGGAUUACCAGCCACACUGGAACUGAGACACGGACCAGACUCCUACGGGAGGCAGCAGUGGGGAAUAUUGCACAAUGGGCGCAAGUCUGAGGCAGCCAUGCCGCGUGAGUGAAGAAGGUUUUCGGGUUGUAAAGUACUUUUAUCGGGGAGGCGUUACCCGCAGAAGAAGCACCGGCUAACUCCGUGCCAGCAGCCGCGGUAAUAC